UUAACAGCAAGCAACAGCGAACGCCGAAGACGGGCGAAAGCGUGAACGGGCCGAAAAGUCGGCAACGGCCAUCCCAGACAUAGGUUCAAUUCAAGAAAACUGACGAUGCGAGCGUAUAAUGUAGGGGAACGGAAGCACAACGAGUAAUGCAGAAAACAGAGACCAAGAAGGGAAAGACACAAAACAUGCAAGAGUGUGUCAACCAGAAGCGUCGAGCUUGUUUCCGUAUGCUCAUAUGCCGUAUUAACAUACAGCAGACUACGUACAGCAGAAGAAGAAAGCAGGGGACGGGGAGCAUAGCUCAAGAGCCGGGAGACAGGAGACAGGAAAGAGGGAAAAAGGAAAAACAAUCGACAACAAGCGACAAGCCGACGUCUCGGAUCUCGCAUCCUGGAUUCCUGGAUGCUAUUGGCAGAACCAGGAACGAGAGGGGUGGCAGGGAGCAAGGAGCAGCAGGGCAAGAAAGGACCACGAAUCGCGAGCGACGCGUCCUGCAGUUGCUUUAAUUUAUUCAUCCUUCACCCUCCUCUUCUGUCCUUUCCUUUUUUUCUUGUGCCUUGCACGAAGGUGAUUCUUAAUAAUCACCGGCGAACGAUCGGUUGCAUAUAACAGUGGAUGCGACUAUUUCAUUUUAUUGGUUUUUUAUAUCGAUGUGAAAGAGGGCGGACGGCGGCUAUUCCGUCCUGAUUAUGUAUACGUUGCCUUGUUCUUG
rnacentral:sRNA from 1 species